UACGAAGGGGGCUAGCGUUGCUCGGAAUCACUGGGCUUAAAGGGCGCGUAGGCGGGUCUUCAAGUUUGGGGUGAAAUCCUCCGGCUCAACCGGAGAACUGCCUCGAAUACUGAAGGUCUCGAGGGGGAUAGGGGCAUGCGGAACUACGGGUGGAGCGGUGAAAUGCGUUGAUAUCCGUAGGAACUCCGGUGGCGAAGGCGGCGUGCUGGAUCCCUUCUGACGCUGAGGCGCGAAAGCCAGGGGAGCAAACGGG
rnacentral:rRNA from 1 species